rnacentral:rRNA from 1 species
UACGGAGGGUGCAAGCGUUAAUCGGAAUUACUGGGCGUAAAGCGUGCGUAGGUGGUUUGUUAAGUUAGCUGUGAAAUUCCUGGGCUUAACCUGGGCUGGUCAGCUAAUACUGAUGAACUGGAGUAUGGGAGAGGGUAGUGGAAUUUCCGGUGUAGCGGUGAAAUGCGUAGAGAUCGGAAGGAACACCAGUGGCGAAGGCGGCUACCUGGCCUAAUACUGACACUGAGGCACGAAAGCGUGGGGAGCAAACAGG